GCUGGGUGUGGUGACGCAUACCUGUAAUCCCAGUAGCUUGGGAGGCUGAGACAGAAGAAUCCCAAGUUCAAAGCCAGCCUCAGCAACAGCGAGGCACUAAGUGACUCAGUGAGACCCUGUCACUA
rnacentral:sRNA from 1 species